AUGACGGUGUCAUGGCUCUUGAUGGCGAUGUGGUUGUCGAUGGCGUGGACAAGUUUCGUGGUGAUGUUGUUGACACGGACGCUUUUCGGGUGGUGUGGGUCAAGUAUAAUGGCAGCACACCUCUCCUUGAGGUGGGCGAAGCCGGACUCACCGUACUCGCGCUCCGGCCUCCUGGCGAGUGCGGAGAACAAAGUGAGUGCGAUUGGUGCAGGGCACGGUCUCAAGGUAUCCAUGGUCGGCAGCGAUCACCGCAUCGCCGAUGCCGAUGAUGAUGAGAGGCGCCGUUGCCACGAUAAUCUUCCGUGGGUACGAGUACCGCCGAGACCGAGAGUGCCCAUGGGUGAAGUGGGUCACUGGUCUAGGCAGGAUGGUGCAGUAGUGCCGAGCGGGCCGCGCCACCACCUGCCUUAG
rnacentral:rRNA from 1 species